CGAGAGGGAAUCAACCAACUGAGCUGCUAACUCAUCAAGCCCAGAUUAAACUCUGGGCCCUCUCC
rnacentral:tRNA from 1 species